rnacentral:rRNA from 1 species
GACGAACGCUGGCGGCGUGCUUAACACAUGCAAGUCGAACGGAAAGGCCCUGCUUUUGUGGGGUGUUCGAGUGGCGAACGGGUGAGUAACACGUGAGUAACCUGCCCUUGACUUUGGGAUAACUUCAGGAAACUGGGGCUAAUACAGGAUAGGAGCUCCUGCUGCAUGGUGGGGGUUGGAAAGUUUCGGCGGUUGGGGAUGGACUCGCGGCUUAUCAGCUUGUUGGUGGGGUAGUGGCUUACCAAGGCUUUGACGGGUAGCCGGCCUGAGAGGGUGACCGGCCACAAUGGGACUGAGAUACGGCCCAGAGUCCUACGGGAGACAGCAGGGGGGAAUAUUGCACAAUGGGCGGAAGCCUGAUGCAGCAACGCCGCGUGCGGGAUGACGGCCUUCGGGUUGUAAACCGCUUUCGCCUGUGACGAAGCGUUAGUGACGGUAAUGGGUAAAGAAGCACCGGCUAACUACGUG